GCCUGGGAGGCUGUUGGAACUCAGGAGAGAAGCCUGUGGAAAGAGUGGCCUGACCGAUGACACAGGAGCUGUGACCUUUCAGCCCGGGGUGCAGCCAGCCCCAGCCCCUGAGUGUAAACACCAUCGAGUUGGCAUUAAAAAGGAAGAAAAACCAGGAGUGGUUUUGUGUCUGUCCGUCCCCUCCCCUCCCCCCCGGGACAGAUUCACUGCGACUGCUCGCCUGGGCAGACCCGACACGCGCUCCAGGUGGUGGAGGCUGGCGAGGCCCCGUUCGGAGAUUCGGGGACAACCGGCCAGCGAGAGCUCCUGCAACGAGUUGGCCAGUGGGUGGAGGCGGCCGAGACACCAGUCAUCCACGUGGGGACAGCGCUGCAGCCACAGGG